AGAUGGUAGCUCGUCCUUGUGGCUCCUUAGCCAAGCAUGUCAUCAACUCUGAAUUGUGGUUGCUUCCAUAGUGAUCCAAGAAACUGAGAGCAACAUUUCACUGCCUGCCCUUCAGCUUCCAAGAUCCUGUCUCUCUCACUUUAUCCAGUAGGACCCCUUCCUUGUGCUGAAAGAAUCCCUUUGCUCUGAACCAGAUGUUUUCCCCCAGGGCUCGGCUUUAAGUCGGGCUUCUGAGCUAAUAGUGUAUAUGCUUAGAGGCUCUGAAGGCUACUACAUGGAUUAGACUUGCCUGAGAGUGAAUCCAAGACAGAAGAUAGUAGAAGCAAUGGAGGAAGAGGUUGAUGUCCAGCUCCUGCC
ensembl:lncRNA